UGUGAGAGGUAUCUUAUUCUGAAUACAUAGGGAUAAGAAGCGAACUCAGGGAACUGAAACAUCUAAGUACCUGAAGGAAUGGACAUCAAUUGAGACUCCGUUAGUAGCGGCGAGCGAACGCGGACCAGGCCAGUAUUUCAUUGUGCGUCAGCGGAACGUUCUGGAAAGUUCGGCCACAGCGGGUGAUAGCCCCGUACGCGAAAACAAACUUUGAAAUCUCGAGUAGGGCGGGACACGUGAAAUCCUGUCUGAACAUGGGGGGACCACCCUCCAAGCCUAAGUACUCCUUACCGACCGAUAGCGAACCAGUACCGUGAGGGAAAGGUGAAAAGAACCCCGCAAGGGGAGUGAAAAAGAACAUGAAACCAUAUGCUUACAAGCAGUAGGAGAAUGACUAAACAUUUGACUACGUGCAUGUUGAAGAAUGAGCCGGCGACUUACAGGUAGUGGCAGGUUAAGGUAGAGAAUACCGGAGCCACAGUGAAAGCGAGCCUUAAUAGGGCGUGGUCACUAUUUGUAGACCCGAACCCGGAUGAUCUAGCCAUGGCCAGGAUGAAGCUUGGGUGACACUAAGUGGAGGUCCGAACCGACUAAUGUUGAAAAAUUAGCGGAUGAGUUGUGGCUAGGGGUGAAAUGCCAAUCGAAUCCGGAGCUAGCUGGUUCUCCCCGAAAUGUGUUUAGGCGCAGCGACUAGUGAUCUAAGUUAGGGGUAAAGCACUGUUUCGGUGCGGGCUGCGAGAGCGGUACCAAAUCGAGGCAAACUCUGAAUACUAACUCUAGUAACUAGUCAGUGAGACAGUGGGGGAUAAGCUUCAUUGUCAAAAGGGAAACAGCCCAGAUCACCAGCUAAGGCCCCUAAAUAAAUGCUAAGUGGCAAAGGAGGUGGAAAUGCAUAAACAACCAGGAGGUUUGCUUAGAAGCAGCAACCCUUUAAAGAGUGCGUAAUAGCUCACUGGUCUAGUGUUUCUGCGCCGAAAAUGAACGGGACUAAGCAUUUUGCCGAAGCUGUGGGAUGUUUAACAUCGGUAGGGGAGCGUUCUAUUGUAGAUCGAAGCAUUAGCGUAAGCGGAUGUGGACGAAGUAGAAGUGAGAAUGUCGGCUUGAGUAGCGAAAACAUUGGUGAGAAUCCAAUGCCCCGAAAAUCCAAGGUUUCCUUCGGAAGGCUCGUCCUCGAAGGGUAAGUCAGGACCUAAGAUGAGGUUGAAAAACGUAAUCGAUGGACAACGGGUUAAUAUUCCCGUACUGCUUCUACUGGUACCGAGGGACGGAGAAGGCUAAGUUAGCCGAAUGUUGGUUAUCGGUUUAAAUAUGCAAGGCGUUGAUAAGUGGAGAAAACACUUUGAGCUAACAUAUGAGUACAAGGUGCUUCGGCACUAAAGUAACUGAUGUCAUGCUUCCAAGAAAAGCUCGAAAUACCAUAAGUAGAAAGUACCUGUACCCUAAACCGACACAGGUGGAUAGGUCUAGUAUACCAAGGGGCGCGAGAUAACUCUCUCUAAGGAACUCGGCAAAAUAACUCCGUAACUUUGGAAGAAGGAGUGCCCUCAUAGAGGGUUGCAAUAACCAGGCCCAAGCGACUGUUUACCAAAAACACAGGUCUCCGCAAAAUCGUAAGAUGAAGUAUGGGGGCUGACGCCUGCCCAGUGCCGGAAGGUUAAGGAAGUUGGUUAGUCAAUAGAUGAAGCUGAUAACUGAAGCCCCGGUGAACGGCGGCCGUAACAAUAACGGUCCUAAGGUAGCGAAAUUCCUUGUCGGGUAAGUUCCGACCUGCACGAAUGGCGUAACGACUUCCCCACUGUCUCCAGCAGAGACUCAGCGAAAUUGAAUUCUCCGUGAAGAUGCGGAGUUCCCGCGGUCAGACGGAAAGACCCCGUGCACCUUUACUACAGCUUCGCAGUGGCAUUAGUGGCGAUAUGUGUAGGAUAGGCGGGAGGCUUUGAAACCAGGGCGCCAGUCUUGGUGGAGCCGUCCUUGAAAUACCGCCCUUAUCCUCAUUGAUGUCUAACCGCGAUCCGUGAACCCGGAUCCGGGACCCUGCGUGGCGGGUAGUUUGACUGGGGCGGUCGCCUCCCAAAGAGUAACGGAGGCGCGCGAAGGUUGGCUCAGAGCGGUCGGAAAUCGCUCGUUGAGUGCAAUGGCAUAAGCCAGCCUGACUGCGAGACUGACAGGUCGAGCAGAGUCGAAAGACGGCCAUAGUGAUCCGGUGGUCCCGCGUGGAAGGGCCAUCGCUCAACGGAUAAAAGGUACGCCGGGGAUAACAGGCUGAUGAUGCCCAAGAGUCCAUAUCGACGGCAUUGUUUGGCACCUCGAUGUCGGCUCAUCGCAUCCUGGGGCUGGAGCAGGUCCCAAGGGUUUGGCUGUUCGCCAAUUAAAGCGGUACGUGAGCUGGGUUUAGAACGUCGUGAGACAGUUCGGUCCCUAUCUGCCGUGGGUGUUGAAUACUUGAGAGGAGCUGUCCCUAGUACGAGAGGACCGGGAUGGACGCACCUCUGGUGGACCUGUUGUUGCGCCAGCAGCAUAGCAGGGUAGCUAAGUGCGGACGGGAUAACCGCUGAAAGCAUCUAAGCGGGAAGCCCCCCUCAAAACCAGGUAUUCCUUGAGAGCCGUGGAAGACCACCACGUUGAUAGGCUGGAAGUGGAAGUGUGGCGACACAUGGAGCGGACCAGUACUAAUUGCUCGAUAGGCUUGAU
rnacentral:rRNA from 12 species